GACGAACGCUGGCGGCGUGCUUAACACAUGCAAGUCGAACGGAAAGGCCCUGCUUUUGUGGGGUGCUCGAGUGGCGAACGGGUGAGUAACACGUGAGUAACCUGCCCUUGAUUUUGGGAUAUCUUCAGGAAACUGGGGCUAAUAUCGUAUAGGAGCUCCUGCUGCAUGGUGGGGGUUGGAAAGUUUCGGCGGUUGGGGAUGGACUCGCGGCUUAUCAGCUUGUUGGUGGGGUAGUGGCUUACCAAGGCUGUGACGGGUAGCCGGCCUGAGAGGGUGACCGGGCACAUUGGGACUGAGAGACGGCCCAGACUCCUACGGGAGGCAGCAGUGGGGAAUAUUGCACAAUGGGCGGAAGCCUGAUGCAGCAACGCCGCGUGCGGGAUGACGGCCUUCGGGUUGUAAACCGCUUUCGCCUAUGACGAAGCGUGAGUGACGGUAAUGGGUAAAGAAGCACCGGCUAACUACGUG
rnacentral:rRNA from 1 species